rnacentral:rRNA from 1 species
GACGAACGCUGGCGGCGUGCUUAACACAUGCAAGUCGAACGGAAAGGGCCUGCCUUUGUGGUGUGCUUGAGUUGCGAACGGGUGAGUAACACGUGAGUAACCUGCCCGUGAGUUUGGGAUAACUUCAGGAAACUGGGGCUAAUACCGGAUAGGAGCACCUGCUGCAUGGUGGGUGCUGGAAAGGUGCGGCGGCUGGGGUUGGAGUCGCGGCUGCUUAGCUUGAUGGUGGGGUAGUGGAUUACCAAGGCCUUGACGGGUAGCCGGCCUGGGAGGGUGACCGGCCACAGUGGGACUGAGAUACGACCCAGACGGCUACGGGGGCAAGGAGUGGAGAAUAUUGCACAAUGGGCGGAAGCAUGAAGCAGCAACGCCGCGUGCGAGAGGACGGCCUUAGGGUUGUAAACCGCUUUCGCCUGGGACGAUGCGUGAGUGACGGUAAUGGGUAAAGAAGCACCGGCUAACUACGUG